UACGGAGGGUGCAAGCGUUACCCGGAAUCACUGGGCGUAAAGGGCGUGUAGGCGGCCCCCUAAGUCUGACUUUAAAGACUGCGGCUCAACCGCAGCAGUGGGUUGGAGACUGGGAGACUAGACCUGUGGAGAGGCAACUGGAAUUCCUGGAGGAGCGGUGGAAUGCGUAGAUCCCAGGAGGAACACCAACGGCGAAGGCAGGUUGCUGGACACAAGGUGACGCUGAGGCGCGAAAGUGUGGGGAGCAAACCGG
rnacentral:rRNA from 1 species